UCUGAGAUAUGCUACAUCAAAUAGGGCGCCUAGCAGUCCCUCCUGAUGCUGCCUACCCUGAGUUUUCUUAUCCCCACCCUCCAAAGACUUCAUCCUGCAACCUGACUCCCCCAAGCUGCAUAGAGCACCUGGUCCAAUGCCUGGGGACACAGGAGGCUUGUGGAGGUGUAUGUUUUUCCUUCAUGAACCCAUGAGAGCAACAAGAACAUAGACCAUGGAGCAAAUGUCCCAGUGGUUUAGGGGAAAUGUUCAAGAAUCAUAGCCAGUGCAGUUCACCUUUGUGGACUGGAUGCCUGGAAGCAGCCACAAAGACCAGAUGGAAACCCAGACAGACAUGGAUUCUCAUAAUGGGAUUCAAGCUUUAUCUUCUGAAGGGAAAUGCAAGGAGCUCUGCAUAAUGAGAGGUUCAUUGCUGGAGAAGGGGCAAGAAAAUGCAAGCAUCCAGGCAAAGAGAGAUAAAAGGAGAUUGGCUCCCAGCAAUAUCCCUCCUCGCAGGAAGUGAGCUAUGAUAAAUCCAUAUUUCUACAUAAUAAGCUGUUCUGCUGGGACUGGAGCAUCCCUUCCUCAGCUCAGGGGAGAAAGUGUUACAGGCCUGGCUAUGCACAUGGAGAUGUGCAGUCUGUUCCUGCCAGCCUUGGGGGCAGGUGGCUUGCCUGUUCGGUCUCCCCAGAACAUCCAGGACAUCAGAGGGCAUCGAGUUCAUUUAGUCUUUGGUUUCUUUACAGCCCAAAACAUCUUCUGGAGACUGUGAUGUGGUUAAACUAAAUUUCAAGUUUUCACUACAUCCCAAGAUUUUGCUCAAAUUUCUGUGCCGAGAGUCAACUUACUGACUCACCCAUUAGAGUAAACGUUUUUCUUGCUUCCCACACGUAUAUUUCCCUCUUUAUCCAACGUCCAGAUUUGCCUUGGGGGACCACCUCCUCC
rnacentral:lncRNA from 1 species